CAGCCGCCGCGGUAACCGAGAGGAAUUGGUGGGGGAGCACAUUAUUGGGCCUAAAGCAUCCGUAGCCCGUUUUGUAAGUUUUCGGUUAAAUCCAUGCGCUUAACGUAUGGGCUGCCGGGGAUACUGCCUGACUUGGAAAUGGGAGAGGUAAACGGAACUCGGUAGGAAGGGGUAAAAUCCUUUGAUCUAUUGAUGACCACCUGUGGCGAAGGCGGUCUACCACAACACGUUCGACGGUGAGGGAUGAAAGCUGGGGGAGCAAACCGGAUUAGAUACCCGGGUAGUCCCAGCUGUAAACUAUGCAAACUCAAUGAUGCCUUGACUUAGGGUGUGUGUGAUGCUGCACGGAAGCCGUUAAGUUUGCCACCUGGGAAGUACGUAAUGAAGUAUGAAGGAAUUGGGAGUUGACCGGAGGAGCACAA
rnacentral:rRNA from 1 species